AUUGAACGCUGGCGGCAGGCCUAACACAUGCAAGUCGAGCGGAGCGGCGGACGGGUGAGUAAUGCCUAGGAAUCUGCCUGGUAGUGGGGGAUAACGUCCGGAAACGGGCGCUAAUACCGCAUACUAUCAGAUGAGCCUAGGUCGGAUAAGCUAGUUGGUGGGGUAAAGGCCUACCAAGGCGACGAUCCGUAACUGGUCUGAGAGGAUGAUCAGUCACACUGGAACUUGGACACGGUCCAGACACCUACGGGAGGCAGAAGUGGGGAAUAUUGGACAAUGGGCGAAAGCCUGAUCCAGCCAUCCCGCGUGUAUGAUGAAGGCCUUCGGGUUGUAAAGUACUUUUGGUCGGGAAGCGGUAUCUGCAGAAUAAGCACCGGCUAACUACGUGCCAGCAGCCGCGGUAAUUC
rnacentral:rRNA from 1 species